CAUGCUGAUUGCAUUUUUCCUUUACUCUACUGUGUGAUUUUCACUACAGAGAUAGCAGGGAAUGCGGUAGAGUCAGUAUUUUAUGCGCUCAUAUGUUAAGCAUGCCUACCUUCAUCAGAUAGGACACUGUGCGCUCUUUCUGCUCUCCCUCUGGAUGCUUAAGCCCACAAAGUGAAGAAACUGUGAAUUCUUGGCUCUCCAAGGUUGUUUAGCGGUAUAAGAACCUCCUGUUAGAUUUACACAGUACCUCUAGCAAAAUUAACUCAGGACCUUUCUCCCACUUCAAUUCUUUCAAGAUCCCAAACCAAAGAAUCCUCUGAGUGAUCUUGAAAUUGCAAGAAGAUUCGAAGGUUUCAAAAGCUGUGUUCGUUAAUUAACUGACUUAAAAUUUAUAUUUGCACUGCCUGAAGAAUAUUAAUGGGUACCAUUUUUAAAGCAAGUAUUUCACAGCAGGCAAUAUGUUAGGCAAUUAUUGAUUUUAUCUCAUCAUUUUUUUGUAAAAACUACUGAAUGUAGAGGUUAUUCUCUAUGUAUUGUGACCAUUUUUCAUUUCAAGUGAAAGAAAUCAAACUCAAAUUAUCUAUGGCCAAAAGAUUAAUUGUUGGGAAGGAAACUGGUAUCUUGUAUGGGAAUGCCAAGCUGCUGGGACAGAACUAUCAGCACCAUCAGUAUCAUCCACACCAUCAGGACCAUCAGGACCAUCAGGACCAUCAGCACCAUCACGACCAUCAAUCCAUCAGCACCAUCAGCACCAUCAGGACCAUCAGGACAAGAAGCACCAUCAGCACCAUCAGGACCAUCAGGACCAUCAGCACCAUCAGCACCAUCAGGACCAUCAGCACCAUCAGCACCAUCAGGACCAUCAGCACCAUCAGGACCAGUAGCACCAUCAGCACCAUCAGGACCAUCAAGACCAUCAGGACCAUCAAGACCAUCAGCACCAUCAGGACCAUCAGCACCAUCAGGACAAGAAGCACCAUCAGCACCAUCAGGACCAUCAGCACCAUCAGCACCAUCAGCACCAUCAGCACCAUCAGCACCAUCAGCACCAUCAGGACCAUCAGCACCAUCAGGACCAUCAGCACCAUCAGGACCAUCAGCACCAUCAGCACCAUCAGGACCAUCAGCACCAUCAGGACCAUCAGCACCAUCACGACCAUCAAUCCAUCAGCACCAUCAGCACCAUCAGGACCAUCAGGACAAGAAGCACCAUCAGCACCAUCAGGACCAUCAGGACAAGAAGCACCAUCAGCACCAUCAGGACCAUCAGGACCAUCAGCACCAUCAGGACCAGUAGCACCAUCAGCACCAUCAGGACCAUCAAGACCAUCAAGACCAUCAAGACCAUCAAGACCAUCAGCACCAUCAGGACCAUCAGCACCAUCAGGACCAUCAGCACCAUCAGCACCAUCAGGACCAUCAGCACCAUCAGGACCAUCAGCACCAUCAGGACCAUCAGCACCAUCAGCACCAUCAGCACCAUCAGCACCAUCAGCACCAUCAGCACCAUCAGCACCAUCAGGACCAUCAGGACCGUCAGUAGUCCUUCUCCUCCACAAGCAUCUCAGCAUCAUUUUGUUCCUGUCACCUGGACAACCCCCCUUCCACAAAUGGGAAACAGCCAUGGGUAGCUCCUGAGACUGAUAAUUUCAGUAUUUUGGAUGAAACCAACUUCCUGUUUUUAAACCUCCAAUUCCUUGUAAGCACCCUCUUGGUCUGCUUUCUAUUUGGCGGUCACUUUAGACUGAACGAAGUGUCAGGAUCUUAGGCUUUGAAGGAACACUAAACAGGAAGUUAGUUAUUGCGGUACGGCAAAUGAUGCUUGUAACUAAGAUUUUAAAGAGAAUAUGGAAAUGUCCUAAAUAGGUAAUUUUACAUCGUACUCACAAUUGAUAUUUUAUUGAGUGUUCCAGGUCUGUGCCUUUAACAAUAGACUAAUUAUCUUACCACCCCAUAAACUAAAGGACAAAUACCGUUUUAAUUAGGAUGCAGGGACUUAGAGAUGUUAACCAACCCAAUAUAGAAUACAGAUGGAUGACAGAUGAUUAAAAAGGGGUGCUAGGAGGACAGAGCCACUGGUGUGCACUGCAAUUAUUGUAAUUACAUCAGGCAGAUGGAGAGGAUAAAUCUUCAUGUGACUCAUCCGGUAAAUGCAGAUCCACAAGCUACCAAGCUGAGCAUACUAGAAAAGUGAGCAGUUGAGAUGGGAAGGAAAAACAGAGGAAAAUACAAAGUAGAAAAGAAAUAUUUGAAAGCCAUUGUUGGGGGGAAAAAACCAACAGAACAAAGACACUUGAGUUUCUUCCUGGACAUAAACUGUGCUUGAUCAUAUCCUCCUCCCACUGGAUGAAGGGAAAUUCUCAAGUGUGUUUGAAGUAGCUUUAUGUUAAUAAUAAACCAACUGGAAAUUAUCUCAGGUGGUGUAACGAAUGAUGGUUUUAAUUAAGAUCUACCAGAGGACAUCCUAAUAUCCAAAUAGAUGAUUUCCUGUAGUACUUAAAAAUGGACAUUUUUUUUAAUGUGCUCCAGGUUUGUGUCUGGACAGUAGAUGACUUACCUGAUUUGAGCCUCAUAAACUACGGUUAAGCACAGUUACGGUUAGGCUACUGGGACUAAGAGAUGCCGACUAAGCUAAGGACACACACCUUCUGAGAGCUGAAGCUUGCCUAGCACUGAGGAUGCUAGCACUGAGGAUGCUAGCACUGAGGAUGCUAGCACUGAGGAUGCUAGCAUUGAGGAUUGCCUAGCACUGAGGCUGUUGGAUAGUGCAUUCUGACAUGCUUUGCUGGUCUUCCUUCUUCACAAUGUGAGAGACAACCACAUUGGUGCUCCAUUCAAUACUAUUUAUUCCACUAGGAGAGGAGAGAUGGAUUAGCUCAAGAGCAUUGUUUUCUGAGGACAUGAUUAUGCAGGGUACCAUACAGUGGGUCCUUGUGAAAUCAUGGCCAAAAUUUGGUGAUGACGCCAAAGAACCAGUCAAGUAAGCUGCCAGUUUAAACACUGAUGAAUGGAUCUUUUACACCAGUCAUGGAGACACAGAUCUAUAAACUCAACCCUUAAGAGGCUUAGGCAGGAAAAUUGCAAGGUGAAGGCCAGUCUAGGCUCCAGUGAGCUCAAGGCCAAUCUGGCUUUGUGAAAUCCCAUCUCAAAACAAGUGAAGCAAAAGAAAGAGGGUUAUACCAUAGUGGUGUAACUACUUAAUCUGGGCAAGGCUAAGUUUAAUCCUCAGAGAAACCAUGUCUUAAAACAGAUAGACAGACAGAUAGACAGACCAACUAAUUUAAAGGGCUAGUGACCAUAUUAACAGAGAACAAGUUGUGGGAUUGAUCUCUUCUUCUGUGAUGUGAUGUAGGUUCUGGGAAUUGAAAGCAGGUCAUCAGGUCAGCAGCACCCUUAUAUCCUGAGCCAUCUUGCUGCUCCCCACCCCCGACCUUUCCCUUUUAACUAGCCAAAUUGCUGGAAAGCUUGGGCUAAUUAAGGUAUUAAGACGCUUGCUUUAGAAUUAUCUUUGCCUGAGGAUGCUUCCAGUAAGUCUAAGUUCCACUACAAAGGUGGGUCUCCUCCUUUACAUAGUUUAAAUACAUGACUAGUCAUACUGAACUUGUGCAGAUUUUUCUUCAUUUUCCAGUAAAUACUGAGUACUUGCUCAGGGCCCUAGGCACAGGAGUUUUGAGGCAAACAUAUUCUCCUACCUUCUAGUCAAUGUAGUAGAAAUAGUAGAAACAGGGAAACCAGAAGCUAUGAGGAAACAAUAAAUAUUUUGAUGAAAAUAAACCCUGGUGACUGACGGGAAGGUGUGGGAAAUUCUUUCAACAGAACAAUCAGGAAAGAUUCUCUCAAGAGGUCAGUGGAGGGUAAAGAGAAGGAACCUGAGAAGAGAGUAUUCUGACAAUAUAUAGAAUAGACAAUCCCAUCUUGCAAACAGGAGGUCUGGGAUGAUAAUGUAUGAGAUUCCUGAGUGUCAACAUGACACACCCGUGACAUGAUUCCCCCAGUUUUGUAAUAGAAAUUAUUGGAUUUUCAUACCAACAUCAACAAUGAAUCCAUGAGCAGAGAAGAACAAGGUUAGGACUCUAGACCAUAGUUCCAGGAACUCUUUAUCUGUUGAAGAGGGAAGAGAAGAUAUGGCCCUGGAUGCUACCUGUGAACCAGGUAUCAUGAGUUGCCUAAGCAGUAUUGAGAAUGAUUUCUUACGAGGAUUGUUUUGUGAACAUUUUGCUGAAGGGAUAGACACAGAGGAACAAAAGUGUAAACACACUGGCCAGCCUACUGCCAUUUCUAAUGUGCUUUAGAUUAUCCAGAAAUAUAAACAGAAUUUAAGGAACAAAGUUGAAGGCCUGGCAUUGCUUCACGAGGCAGUAGGUGCUGUGUGGUAAGAUAUAAAUAAUAAACUUAUCUUGAUAAAAAGUGUUUUCUGGUAUUAAAUACGACAAAAGUAAUUUAUUCUAGAUUACCCAUUAAAAUGAUGGAAUAGUACUUAAAACUCGUUUGUUCGAAUUCAAGUAUGAGUUCAAUAAUUGAAUUGACAAUGUUGGAUGCUAGUGUUUAAGCAGAGUUAACUUUUUUUAAAGUUGAAAAUGGAAGAAACUUUAAAUUAUGAGUCAAGAAAAGUACUUUAAGUUAAUAUGACAUUGAUAGGACACAAAUUAUAUAGUAAUCUAGGUUUUAAAUUGUAAUUUUUGGUUUUUUUUUGAAAUAGAAGAAUGAAAGAAAUAUCACAGUGUAAUUAAAAAGUAUGUCUAAAGAAUGUGGUAUUUUUAAAUUUAUUCAACCAGUUCUGCCUUAUCACAGAAUAAUCAGAGAAGCAAGAAAUUGAAAUUUAGUAACCUAUGGUAUUUUGUGUUAUGUCGUACACCUAUAGCUUUGAAGAGUUUAAAAAUUGCUGUCAUCCAAACAUGUAUGUAUCACAGAAAGAUGUUGGAAAUGAGUUGACAGUUUUCAUUUCUAACUCUUUAGGUAUUUAGACAAACACUGAGAUUUCUCGGCACCUAGUAAGUGUGAAACAGUAGUGCGCGUGACAUGUGGGGUGUGUGCACGUGCUCAGUUCUCAUUAGGUGAUGUGUCACCUCCUACCCUCGAGGUGGAUUUGUUCCCUUCUCUGUAUGGAGGGGUCAUGUAAACCUAUGUGGAGCUUUUCUUCCUCUAGGACACACAGCUUGGAAAUAGAAGCUGUUACUACUAGAUCUUUCUUUAGCCUUAGGAACAUUAGGCCUUGGUGUCUUGUGUUAUGCUUCUAGGCCACUAGAGGGAUCGUCUAGUUCACUCCUCUUGCAGUGUGCAACAUCUCCUACCAAUUUUAUAGGAAGGGGAAAAAUUACUCUGCCAUUUACAGAAGUUGAUUACUGUGCAUGUUAUGUUUAAAAUGGAGACACAGUGAAGUGGAAUUUAUCCACCAUGCAGGUGAUGUCAGGGAGCGGAGUAUAUCAACGGCUGAUAUAAAGUGAUACUCCACAAAUAAGAAUCUCUGUGAGAGUCUUACAGAUUUAAAUACAUUGAGUCACCCAGUAAGUAUUUCCCAAGUAUCUAAUGUGUUCCUGGUACUCUUCUAAGUACUGGUAAUGUGUCAGAGGUGUGGAGGGACAAACUCUGCCCUUUGGUAUGUAACAUUCAAAAAUGUUUCAAAUGUCACAGAGAAAUGAAAUCUCUCUCUCUCUCUCUCUCUCUCUCUCUCUCUCUCUCUCUCUCUCUCUCUCCUCCUCCUCCUCCUCCUCCUCCUCCUCCUCCUCCUUCUCCUCCUCCUCCUCCCUCCCUCCCUUUAUCCUCCCCCUCGAUUGACCUGGAACUGGAAGCUCUAUAUGAGAGUAUGUGCGGCUCAUUUUUUGAUUGUUGUUUUGUUUGUUUAUUUUUGAGGGGGGAGUGGAUCAUUUUUUCUUCCCUUUGGAUUGGAGGGUGAGAAGAAGGCUGGAGUAUAUUCCUGGAUAUCUGUGUUUGAAGAAGUAUUCUGGGCCACUAAAAGUAUUAUGACUGCAUUUCUGUCUUCAGCAUAGUCCUCAAUUUCAGUCCUGUUUGCUUUGCCAUGAAUGCGGCUCUUGGAUUCAACUUUCCCAAAGGGGGGAAAAGUCUUCAGUCAUGGUUGAGGGCUACCUGGAUGUUCUGGCUUAGAAAAACAGGAUCUGGGGUUCCUAAGGUGCCCCAGAUGGAUAUAAUGUCAACCCUGUCAUUUUUAGUCCUACCCCCAUGCUGUGUGCCACGUAUUUGCUAUUUUUAAAAUUAAAGCAGUAUUUUUUGAGGCUGUCCCUUCAGGUAGUUCAGAAAUUCAUGAUCGUCCUGCUUUUUCAUUCCAAGUGCUGGGAUUAUAGGACUGAGCUACGUCCCCUGCCUCUGUUUGCAAUUUUAAAUCAAAUAAUCCAAACGUCCUAUCACUUACAAAACAGAAGCGAGCUAGUUUCCUGGAGGUGUCAGUGCUAUGAAUUGGUUGAUAAGGAAGCACAAUAUCAAGAUUCAGUUAAGAAGAGACCUCAGAAGGGCCGAACUGAGGGAUUUUUGCCUUAAAAUUUUUUAAAAAUAAAAUAUAAUUUCAUCAGUUCCUCCCUUUAACCCUUUCCAAGUCUCUUCUCUCCAACUCUUUCGAUAUUCCACCUUUACUCACUCUCAAAUCAGUGACCUCUUUUUCUUUGACUAUUAUUGCACAUCUAUAAAUACACACACACACACACACACACACACACACACACACACACACACCACCUACUGAGUCACUGUAGUGUUGUGUGUGUGUUUGUAUGAUUUUAGGGCUGACCACGUUGUAUUAGAUGAGCAAGGAGGUCUACUUCGUAGUCGAUACUGUUUACUCUUUGCAACUCUACUGAGCAGCACAGGGCCAAAUCCUGUCUGCAAGAAGUAUCUUAGGUUCCUCAGUGGUCAAGUCAACCUGAGAGCUUCUCCUGGGGCCUUGCACCCCAGCUUCCUGCUCUUCUUGCUCCACACAGUUUCCUAAUGGCAGCAUUGCUCGAAGUUCUCAUUACAGAAGAACUUCAGGAACAAAGCUGGCAGUGAAUGGAGAAAUGCCUGCAGAAUGAAUCCUUGUUAACUUUGACUCUAUCAUCACAGGGCUGGUCAAUUAAUUACAAUUUGCUCCCUUUGGUUAUAGGCUAGGCUGUAGACUAUCUUGACAACAUCUAUAAAAACUGUCUUUGAGGUGAUUUUUUUUAUGUAUACAUGAUUCUAAAGUUCUAAACUAAUUGUUUAAAUUUUAAGAUCUAUAAAAUAAUGCCAAUCUAAAGCCUUCCUCUUCCGUAAUGGACGAGCCACAUUACUCCCCAUAGGUGGUGGUGGGUUUUCUUAGGAUCUCUCCACACUGUGCCCGCUGCUGCAGCCUUGUUUGCUAGUGUACAUUCUGAAAUCGGCGAGUGCAUUUAUCUAAACAUGUUCUAUACAAAAUUGCUUUCACUAAUCAAGCAAGACUUAUCCCUAUUUAGGAGAAUUAGUGAGGUUUUACUCAAUUAGGCUUGAUGUCAAGUUAAUUUUUCCCCCAUUAGUAUAAUGAAGAAUUGCCAUGUUGCUCCAUUAUGCAUGUGGAUUGUUAAAAAGUUGAAAAUUAAUGCCAAACAUUUUUUUUAUUUGGAAAACAAGGAGAGAAGUGAGAGGUUUGAGUAAAUUGUUCUGGAUACAGUCCUGGAUGCUCCAUUUGUAGCGUGUAAAAGGUCAGUUGCAAAUCAGCAGAAGCCACGGAACACCUAGCUUGCAUCCCACUGAUGGAGGGUCUUCAACAUCAGCUUUCUCAUUGAUUUUUAAAAAUUACUUUGUAAAAGGCGUUUAACUUGUAAUUGUCAGUCUUGCUAAAGUAGGUUCCCUCCUUCCCUCCUUCCUUCCUUCCUUCCUUCCUUCCUUCCUUCCUUCCUUCCUUCCUCCCUCCCUCUUACCCUCCUUCCCCCUCUACCUGCCUCCCUCCCUCCCUCUCUCCCUGCUUUCCUUCCUUUUUACUUUUGCUAUUUAUGCUUUCAAAACUAUUUACUUUGUGCUCUGUUCUUUACAUGCCUGCCACACCCUGCAGCCUGGGGAUACUGAACCAGAACCUGGAUGGAAAAGCAGAGUCAAGUUCAUGCACCUGUUUGAAGGGGCCCAAACUGUCAGAAAUAGGAACGAUUGCUUGGAUGAUCACGCUCUGUGAUGCCCUUCACAAUUUCAUUGAUGGCUUGGCGAUCGGGGCAUCC